CCUACGGGAGGCUGCAGUAGGGAAUCUUCCACAAUGGACGAAAGUCUGAUGGAGCAACGCCGCGUGAGUGAAGAAGGGUUUCGGCUCGUAAAGCUCUGUUGGCAGUGAAGAAAGAUAGAGGUAGUAACUGGCCUUUAUCUGACGGUAAUUAGUUAGAAAGUCACGGCUAACUACGUGCGAGCAGCCGCGGUAAUACGUAGGUGGCAAGAGUUGUCCGGAUUUAUUGGGCGUAAAGGGAGUGCAGGCGGUUGAAUAAGUCUGAUGUGAAAGCUUUCGGCUCAACCCGUGAAUUGCAUCAGAAACUGUUUAACUUGAGUGCAGAAGAGGAGAGUGGAACUCCAGGUGUAGCGGUGGAAUGCGUAGAUAUAUGGAAGAACACCAGUGGCGAAGGCGGCUCACUGGUCUGCAACUGACGCUGAGGCUCGAAAGCAUGGGUAGCGAACAGGAUUAGAUACCCGGGUAGUC
rnacentral:rRNA from 1 species